rnacentral:rRNA from 1 species
UUAGUAACGGCGAGUGAAGCGGCAAAAGCUCAAAUUUGAAAUCUGGCACCUUCGGUGUCCGAGUUGUAAUUUGAAGAAGGUAACUUUGGAGUUGGCUCUUGUCUAUGUUCCUUGGAACAGGACGUCACAGAGGGUGAGAAUCCCGUGCGAUGAGAUGCCCAAUUCUAUGUAAAGUGCUUUCGAAGAGUCGAGUUGUUUGGGAAUGCAGCUCUAAGUGGGUGGUAAAUUCCAUCUAAAGCUAAAUAUUGGCGAGAGACCGAUAGCGAACAAGUACAGUGAUGGAAAGAUGAAAAGAACUUUGAAAAGAGAGUGAAAAAGUACGUGAAAUUGUUGAAAGGGAAGGGCUUGAGAUCAGACUUGGUAUUUUGCGAUCCUUUCCUUCUUGGUUGGGUUCCUCGCAGCUUACUGGGCCAGCAUCGGUUUGGAUGGUAGGAUAAUGACUAAGGAAUGUGGCUCUACUUCGGUGGAGUGUUAUA